AGAGUUUGAUCCUGGCUCAGAAUGAACGUUGGCGGCGUGGAUUAGGCAUGCAAGUCGAGCGAGAACCCCGCAAGGGGGGACAGCGGCAAACGGGGUAGUAACGGGUAGGCAACGUACCCUCGGGAUGGGGAUAGCCACGGGAAACUGUGGGUAAUACCCAAUAAUCACCUUGGUUUUCAGAAUUGAGGUGCAAAGGUGUGAUUCCACCUGAGGAGCGGCCUGCUUCGUAUUAGCUAGUUGGUGAGGUAACGGCUCACCAAGGCAUCGAUGCGUAGGGGGUGUGAGAGCAUGACCCCCACCACUGGGACUGAGAUACUGCCCAGACACCUACGGGUGGCUGCAGUCGAGAAUCUUCGGCAAUGGGGGAAACCCUGACCGAGCGACGCCGCGUGUGGGAUGAAGGCCCUUGGGUUGUAAACCACUGUCAGAGGGGAUGAAGUGCGGGAGAGUUAUCUCUUCCGUUUGACAUAGCCUCAGAGGAAGCACGGGCUAAGUUCGUGCCAGCAGCCGCGGUAAUACGAACUGUGCAAACGUUAUUCGGAAUCACUGGGCUUACAGGGUGCGUAGGCGGCUUGUUAAGCAGGGUGUGAAAUCCCUCGGCUCAACCGAGGAAUUGCGCCCUGAACUGGCGAGCUGGAGUGGGACAGAGGUGUACGGAACUUCCGGUGGAGCGGUGAAAUGUGUUGAUAUCGGAAGGAACGCCAGAGGCGAAAGCGGUACACUGGGUCUCAACUGACGCUGAGGCACGAAAGCCAGGGGAGCGAA
rnacentral:rRNA from 1 species